GCCGCCGUGGCGAAACCGGCAGACGCGCCCGCCCCGAAGGCGGGUUCCCCCACCGGGAGUAUCGGUUCGAGUCCGACCGGCGGUACCA
rnacentral:tRNA from 1 species